rnacentral:lncRNA from 1 species
ACACAUGAUUGAAUGAAAACAUUUUUUGCAAGUAAAAUAGAAAAGAAACAAAUGUUUACAAGGUCAAGCCUAUGUAGAAAAAAAAGAUGAUACAACAAAGAACAUUUUUAAUAUAUUCUGCCAUGUGAAAAGAAAACUGGAAGGUCAGUAACAUUUUAUCAGAACUUUUGAAAAAAAUGGAAGAGGCGGGGCUGGUUGAAUAAAGUAGGCAGCCCUUUGGAAAAUAUUCUAUUUAUUCUAAAAAGAUGACUUCAAGAAGGCUCUGAGUUUCCUCUCUUCUGGAGUUUAUAACUCUCUCUUAGGGAGCUCACUGUUCCCAAGAGCUCAGCCAAUUAGAGGCUCCCUUGAUUUCUCUUCUUGCCUACCCAGGAGCUGUAACACCACCCAACAAGAUCGAUGAGAGAAGAUCCUGGGAAAGAAUAUUCAUUGAAGAACAAUGUUGCCCCACAAAAAUUUUAGGAGUCCGGCAUUGUUGCUUCAGAGUAAUUGUCCACAUUGCUCAUGGAAGGAGAGUGAACAGGCCAUGUUACAUGUCAAUCAUACACAGUCAGGCCAACAGAAAUUAUACUCUGAAAGUCAUGUCUGUGAAUGUUCACAUUCAGCUGAGAUUCCUGUCCCUCAGGGAAAAUCUGGCAUAUGGCCUCCACUAUCAGAUCCUGAUAAAUGUACCCUUGAGAGUCUAUCCUGUGAUGAUACCCAACAAACUGAGAAAUCCCCACCUCAUGGAAAAGUUGCCAUCCAACCAAUGCUAUCAAGUCAAGGGAAAUUCACUAAUGAAAGUUCAGGUUAUGAAAACUUACAGUCCAUUGAUUCUACCCUUCCUCAUGGAAAAGCUACAAUCUGGCCUCCACUGUCAAGCCGGGGAAAAUUCUGGGAAGACUCAUACCAAAUGGAGAGUGUCAUUCCUCGUGUAAAGGCAACCAUUCAACAGAUUCCAUCAGGCAGAGCAAAAUUUACCUCUGAGAAUACAAUCUGGGAAGGCUCACAAUCAAAUCAAACUACCAUCUACCAUGGAAAAAGUGGUGUCUACCACCCAUCAUUUGGCAGAGGGAAAUUAAUCCGUGAAAGUCCAGUUUGGGAAGGAUCACGACCAAAUGGGACUCCUCUCCAACUUGGAAAAAUUGGCAUCCAGAAUACAUCUGUAACUAGAGGAAAAUUCAGUCGUGAGAAUUCAGCAUGGGAAGGCUCACAACCAGCUGAAAAUACCCUCUCUCAUAAAAAGCCUAUUGUCUGGCCUCCACCACCAAACCGAGAAAAAUUCAUCUCUGAGAAUAUAGCUUGUGAAGGUCCAAAACCAGCUGAGACUACAUAUGGCCAGGGCAAGUCUAUCAUCUACCCAUCAUCAUCAAGCCAAAGAAAAUUAUUGAAUGACAAUUCCAUGUGGGAAGGCUCCCAAUCAGGUGUGACAGUCCAAAGUGGAAAGGUUCACAAAAUGCUGGGACUCCCCAUCUUUUCAGUAAAAGUGGCACCAGAAUCCCACAAUUAGGCAGAGGGAAAUUGAGCUUUGAGAAAUUUCUAUGGCAAGGCUCUCAACCAUCUGAAAUUCCUCACGCAAAACUUACUGUCAAACGUUCGCCAUCCUGUUUAGGGAAAUUUACUUAUGGUAAAUCACUUUGGGAAGGUUCCCAACCAGGUGAGACUAUCUUAACUCAAAGAAAAGUUAAUAUCAAGCGCUCACCAUCAUGUCAAGGGAAACUUGCUUAUGAUAAAUCAGUUUGGGAAGGUUUAAAACCUGCUGAAGCCCCACUACAGCGUGGAAAAACAACAGUCUGGCCUCCACCACCCAGGCGAGGGAAAUCAUCCAGUGAAGUUUCAUCAUGGAAAGAUAAAGAGUCAGCAGAGACUCCCCAUUCCUUUGGGAAAAUUAUCACCAGAGGAAAAUUCAACUGUGAGAGUUCAGGGAUAGAAGGUUCACAAAAUGCUGAGAUUGCCUAUGUUCUUGGAAAACCAGUGAUCCAGACCCCACAGUCAGGCAAAGUGAAGUUAACUUUUGAUGAUCCUGAAUGUGAAGGCACAGAACCAGCUGAGACUUCUCUCCCUCACAGCAAAACUACCAUCCAACGCAGACAAUCUUUUCUUGGGAAAUUUACCUGUGAAAACCAAACAUGGGAAGGCACACAAUCAGAUGAGAAUGCCAUCCCCAAUGGAAAAACUUUAAGCUGGUCCCCACCAGCAGGACAAGGAAAAUUCUCCUUUGACAGUUCAAGCUGUGAUGAUUCCCAAGUAUUUGAAACUACCCACUCUCAUGGAAAAGGUCCACUCCAUCUCCAACCAUUGGGCAAAGGGAAAUGCAUACAGGAGAAACCAGGCUGGGAAGGUUCACAGUCAGCUGAAUCCCCUCUUCCCAUUGGAAAGUCUGCUGUUCAGCCCAAAACAGGAAGAGAGAAAUUCACCUGUGAGAAUUCAGUUUGGGAAAACUCUCAGUCAACCAAACUUUCUCACAGAAAAACUCGAGUUCAGCACUCUGCAUUGGUUCGAGGAAAAUU